AACGUAGGAGGCGAGCGUUAUCCGGAUUUACUGGGUGUAAAGCGCGAGCAGGCGGUUCGUUAAGUUGGGAGUAAAAGCUCCUGGCUCAACUGGGAGAGGUCGCUCAAGACUGGCGGACUAGUGGGUGGUAGAGGAAGGUGGAAUUCCGGGUGUAGUGGUGAAAUGCGUAGAUAUCCGGAGGAAAACCAGUGGCGAAAGCGCCCUUCUGGGCCACACCUGACGCUCAGACGCGAAAGCUAGGGUAGCAUACGUG
rnacentral:rRNA from 1 species